AUGAGAAGCUGGAGCCUUUGGAGGCGCCCGAUAGCCGCCGGGAUGGGGCCCGUGAGGCGGUUGGACGAAAGGUCGAUGACCUCGAGCGCGUCGAGGCGCGCGAGCGCCCCGGGCACCGGCCCGGCCAACCCCGCGCCGGACAGGUUGAGGCCGGCCACCCUGAGCCCCGCCGGGUCGCACGUGACGCCGGCCCAGGAACAGAAGUCCGACGAGCCGCCGCCAUCGCCGGACCAGCCCUCCAAAACUCCCUCCGGGUCAUCCGCGAACGCGCUCUUCACCUCCAACAACACGUCCCCAUCAUCACCCGCCGCCGGCGCCACGCGUGAAACCAGAAGCAGCAGCAGCCACGCGGCCGGAAUUACCGAGAACCGUCGCACGGGCCGCGCCGUUACUCCUGCGCCCGUCAUCUUCGCUUCUUGCUGCCAGCCUGCCACUAGGCGUCAACUUGUGAGGAGAGCAGCUGCCGCCUUGGACACACGCACGCACACGCACAUAUGCAUCCGGGCGGCGGCGGUGGAUAUGUGCAUGGGCGCAUGCAUGGGUUCCCGCGCGCCUCUGUGCUUGGGAAGUGGAGGGAGAAAGAGGGGAGUUAAGAGGUGGCGGUAA
rnacentral:rRNA from 1 species